GAUGAACGCUGGCGGCGUGCCUAAUACAUGCAAGUAGAACGCUGAAGGAGGAGCUUGCUCUUCUGGAUGAGUUGCGAACGGGUGAGUAACGCGUAGGUAACCUGCCUGUUAGCGGGGGAUAACUAUUGGAAACGAUAGCUAAUACCGCAUGACAACAGUUAUUGCAUGAUAACUGUUUAAAAGGGGCAACUGCUCCGCUACCAGAUGGACCUGCGUUGUAUUAGCUAGUUGGUGAGGUAACGGCUCACCAAGGCGACGAUACAUAGCCGACCUGGGAGGGUGAUCGGCCACACUGGGACUGAGACACGGCCCAGACUCCUACGGGAGGCAGCAGUAGGGAAUCUUCGGCAAUGGACGGAAGUCUGACCGAGCAACGCCGCGUGAGUGAAGAAGGGUUUCGGAUCGUAAAGCUCUGUUGUAAGGGAAGAACGAGUGUGAGAGUGGAAAGUUCACACUGUGACGGUAUCUUACCAGAAAGAGACGGCUAACUACGUG
rnacentral:rRNA from 1 species